AGUUGUCUGAGCCAAGAAGCCUUUAAGUGGUCACCUACGUCCUUUCUUAAGUUUUUAAAUCUUUUUCUGUUGCUGUCACUCGUGUUACAUCUGAGAACUAUACGUUUUUGGGGACAAGAACCAUGUUUUAUGUCUGCAAAGCACAAUGUACCUUAAUAAGAUGUAAUAAAUAACAAUUAUAUGCGGCUAAUGGAAAAUAGGAAGCAGGGAAGAAGGGCAGAAGUGUUGAAUAAUUAUUUCAUAUUCACCUAACAGAAGCAGAAUGAGGAGCUGUCUAAAGCAGGGAGCAGAUAUCUAGCCCAUUCUGAUUUUCAACAGAAAGUUGUAGUGACCAAGCUUAAAAUAUAUGAAACAUAAUUAAAACAUAGCAGGGGUGACUGGUGCCUCCUGAGGCUGUGGGGGGGUACAAUUUGUGGGUGGGCCAAAAGCCCCAUAAUCCACUCCUAUACUUCUGUGCCAUGGCUCAGUGACCGUCUCCCCCCCUCCCCCAACACACCGCCGGCCCAUGCAGCAAAAAAACUGCCCUGUCCUGAGCAGUGCUAAGUCAGGGACCAAUCUCGGGGGGGUGGGGGGGGUGCAUGUGCCUCGCCUACCAGUUGCCUGUGAAAUGUAGUUUACAGGACAGAUUCAACAAACCCUGAAAGUGAAGCUUUGCUCUGCUUCUACUGCUCUACUGCAGUUGCGUCACUGCUGUGCUAACCACACUGGAAUGCUGCAAUUAUCACCUAUGCUGGAUAGGUUGGAAAUGUUGCAUUCCACAGGUAAUAACCCCUCUCCACCUCUACUCUUUAGCCAGAUGAGAUGGAGGAACAGGAGGAGGAACCUCAGUGCUGGUGUUAUCCUCAGCAGAGGCAAGCAGAGACAGUCAAGCUGUAGGUUCUUAGUGGAAGAGGAAAGAGGCAGUCAGCUGCUGCUAACUCCUGACCUGGACAAAGAAAAUCCUUCCAUUGGUGACGUGGAAGAGGAGGCGGUGAGGGGAAGGGGAUGACGUGGGCGGAGGAAGCCUCAGACAAGCAAGCCAAGCAUCACCUGCAGGAUCAGCCCAGCCUAAACCGACAAGAGAAACAGGACCUCCAUCUAACCCAGGAGGUACACAGCCCCAC